rnacentral:tRNA from 1 species
GGAGGGCAUGUCGCCGCCGGGAACGCGGCCCUCUUGAAAACCGCUAGGGCCGGCGACGGUCCUCGUGGGUUCGAAUCCCACGCUCUCCGC